CAUCAGAAAAAAUUACAUCAAAAUCCAGCUUGGGGGAGAGCACCCCCAUUUAUCCAGCUAAGUGUUCUACUCAUGUUUAUACUUUACUCAAAUAAUAAAAAGAUGCAUAAUCAUAAAAACCCAAAUAAAAAUUUUGUGCUUAUAUAUAUAUCUUUGCUUAGUUUGCUAAAUAAAUAAAUAAAUAAAAUUUGCUAUGAACCCUCAUGAUAAGCUCUCACAUGGAAAUGAUGAAUAGUUGCUCUGCCAUGACUAGUUCUCAAAAUUGAAAUCUCUCUCAAGUUUAGGCAUGACGGUUAUCAAUUAAGAUUUGCUCUAAAACUGAAUUUGUGGGGAGAGUACUUGAUCUAAAGUCUAUGUCGUUAACGGAUAUGAUAUGGGAAGGUUGAGCUGUUGCUUAUCUGUUCCUAGAGAUGCUAGAAUUCUGGAGAAUUUUAUCUUUGAAAAUCUUUAAAAUGUUGCAUGAUGAGUUCCUGUAUGAUGAGAGUUUAAAUUCCUACCACAGCUAUAUAUACAUGCUUGCUAGACUAUGAGCCACACAUUUACUUUUUACUACUUAUGAGCAUUGAGUGUGGUCAAGCUAUGUAGACCCUUAGGAGCUUGUCAUGCGGUUAAAUCAAGAUUCACUUGCACGUUCACUCAUACAAGCUACUUCUACUUCGGAAGUACGCAUCCACAUAUAUCCAUCCAUUUCCAUCUCCAGAACCACCCAAAAAUAUUCUACUCCUAAUCCGGGAGAGAAUAGCCAAAAAUAUUUCUUUUUUUCCCCUAUGAAAUAAAUGCUCAAGUUAUCUUGUUACUACCACUUGCUAUAUUAUUUCAGGAGAUGAGUGCUCUAAAAAAAGAUUGAAAAAAAAGAGAAAAAUACGAGGAAAUAAAAAGGGGCAAGUGCCCGGAACCUCGAAGAAAAGAAAAAGUGUCCGACAGUAGAAUUAGGGGUACAAGAUACCCACCUGAGAGGAAAGAAAAAAAAAAUAUAGAGCAUCUCAUUCUCCUCAAAAAGUUUCAAUAGAGCAAGAAAGGUAUGUAUCCCCUCAAAAGAGCACAAGUAGAAUUAGACUUUCACCAUUGUUAUCACCAUCAUUACCAUGCACCAUUCAUUCGCCACACAUGCACAUCUUGAUUUGACUUAUUGACUUGUUCUUCUGGAUCCAUGGUUUGACUAUGCAAUAAAUGUCUUGUAAGUAUGUAUUAGCUGUCUCCCACCUAUGAGCUCCAGAUAUCAAAAGCCUUAUUAGAGUAGGGUAAGAGAGAAGGCAAUGCCACUAUGCCUUAUACCAAAAAUACCACAUACUUUGAGAGAAGGCAUACACCUUUACUGCCUUGGUAAGGAUCCAGAAAUACCACAAAAGAGAGACUAGAGAGAGUCAUACAAGGAAUCUCUGACUUUUAUUUGAAAAUCUGCAAAAACUCUAGAGCUAUAGUUAAUCGAAGAACAAGAGACAUAGCGCUUGAUUAGACCAUUCUAUCUUUUAACUACUCAAGACAUAAGUGACGGUUACAAACCCCAUGGUGAAAGGUAAUAUGAGUAAGUUUUAAGUCUUAACAGUUUACUCUAAUCCAGAGAUGAUAUCUUGUUUGAACGCAUUUGUAUCUUUAAGGCAUGAAACCACUGCAGAAACUCUUGAGUUCAUCUUUGCUCAGGGACGAGCAAAGGUUAAGCUUGGGGGAGCUUGUUGACGGUCCUUAAUGCUCACAUUUAACCAUCAACUAUCAUGGAAAAGGAUCCAAAUGCAACCAACACCCAGACUUAGGGUUUUAUCUAACAGAAUUCCACGAGUUUUAGUGUUUGUCUAUUUCUGCAGGGGGUUAUCAGGAAAUACGGAAGAAAGACCCACAUGUCAGGUUUACAUAGAGAUAUUAACGUGCCGUGCAAUUUUCUAUCAUCUAGAAGACUCCAGAAGCCACGAGAAGGAACGGGAGGCCGAGCGGGCUCGGGGGCAGGGCGCCCGCCCUCCCCCCUUGGGCGCCCGCCCUGCUACAGUGGCCAAUCACGCUCAACCUCGCGGAUUAUGCUCCACCGACCUAAAGGAUCAAGAAUAACCGUUCAAUCAAUGUCGGUUUGAUCCGACGGCCCAGGUUCACUUGAGGGGACUAUAUAAGCAGACCCCCUGGCCCCUGGAGGAGGCACCCCCUUGAUCAUUAUUCAUUAUUCAUAGACAGAGCAAAAGCUAGGGUUUAGAGAUGAGAGCUCUCCUCUCUUCUUUAAACUAGGAUCUAGAUAGUAGCGAGAUGGAGAGCGAAGGAGGAUUAGAGGAGAGGUCGGCCUGUCGGUUCUUCCUCCGGUUGUACUUUGUCAUGAUCAAGCUCUAAUCAAGCUUGCUCAUGGGAUGACUCUGGUAAUCUACUUCUAAUUUAUUAUGCAAUUACUAAUCAUGUAUGUUCUGGUUCACAACUCUUUUGAGUACUUCUAAUCUAUAGGACCCUAUAGGUUAGAGUUGUAGUAUAGGUGUGAGCGUGGUGCUUAGACCUAGAUUACUUGUGGAUAUCCCCUGUCUAGCUGGAUCGUGUGGUAGGCCGCGUACGUGACAGUUACGUUGGUCCUCUGUAGUCCACCUCUCAUUAGCUCGACGGGUAGGGUUUAUCGGCCUAAGCAUAAGCAUCCUUUGUGGUACUCUUAUCACGUGGUUCGUCCCAGACAUAGACAUACCCCUUUGAUGUAGAGAAACCAUAGUUAUCCUCUCUAUUCUGCUACCAUCGCCCAUAUACCAGAAUUGCUCUACUCUCUAUUCCCAUAUUAUCACUCACUGUUAUCUUACCAUUAAUAUUGUUCUUAUUCAAUUCUACCAUCUUUCCUAUUUACACCUAUUUACUUAUCUUGGUUAAGUUAGAGCAUAGAUCAGUUCUCCCGUUUCCCUGUGGAUACGAUAAAACCUUUAACCGGGUAAAAGCUAUAACGGUAUCCGUGCGCUUGCGGAUUUAUCUGUGUGCGUAUAAAUACCAUAGUACACUCUAGUGCCAUGCUAGGGAUGACAACCUAGUAUUCAAGUGGUGUUAGCAAGUGUCAAUAGACGUAGCUCACAAUAGAUGAUCCAUGGAGGGUGCCACAAAUACGAUGCACAACCGCUAAGAAAGAAAAGCUUCCACAAGGUGAUACUAUACCAUCACUCUUCAAGUAAGGUAACAUCUUAAGGUACUUGACUAUCACUUUUAUAAGCUUCUCCUUGGUUCUAGUGUUCACAUGAAUAAAAGAGACAAACAUGUAUGAUUUACAACUUUAGGUUAACCAACCCAACUGAUUCAGCAUGUUCAGUCCUUUAAUCUUUGUUCCUAGUACUACCUCCAUGAUCCCACACUCCUAAUCAUAUGAGCUAAAAUGUUGCACACUCAAUCUUUGGAAGAUAUAUAAGAAAAAGACAUAUACAUAGAUAGAUUAUCUUUCUAUAAGGUUGAGCGAUCUGAUCUGACAAAUGUUUUAAAUGCUACACUCAUGACCUUAUUAUCCAUCAACUUUGUCUUGCUCACUAUGCUUAGGGUUAGAGAAGAAAAAAUACACUUUUGGUUCUGUUGGUGUUUUCCACCAAUAGGGCCCAUGCACUUGAUCUCUUCCUUGUCUCUAUGAGCACGUACACUUCGAGCAAAACAUGGAGGAGUUUUACAACUCCCAGACAUCACCAAGUGAAGGAUCUGGAUCUACGAGCGCAAACACACUGAGCAAGAUACUGCCAACGCUGCACUUCGAACUGUUGGGCAAAUGAAGAACAUGGGUGACACCGUAUCAAGAGGUGCAGACGUCAAGGUCCACAUCUGAAUCGAAUGACGCACCUAAAGAAUGAACACGGUGAGAAGUCUUGUCCAGAAGACUUAAAACAUUGAACCCUCGCCGAAAGGUAAAAUCGGUAGUUAUCCAUAUUUAUCCUUUCUGCAUUCCCUUUUCCCUUAAAUUAUUUACUUUCCUUAAAUGGCUUGUUAGUUAAUCAUGCUAUCUUGAAAAGAAAAAAAUGUUAAAAAUACUAAGCCCCAUGUGAGUAUGCUCGUGGCAUAAAACACAUAAGUACAUUCACUAUGGUGGCGUAGAAAUAAAAUAAAUAUAUUCCUAUCCUAUAAAAAUGAAAAUAUAAAAAUAAAUUUAUGAUCCUACCAAAGAGAGUAAUAUCUAUUAGAGGAAGCUCAACAUGAUAACGGCUAAGAGAUUUUAUGCUAACACUUAACCAGUUCCACAAAGCUUUGUUGUCUAUUUAAGCUCCGCAGAAUCCAAGGAUCAAAGAAGACUAGCAGACGGAGGACAUCCUAAUCGUUGUCAGGGUGCUACCGACAUUCAAGUACACCUCCACCACCGGUUAGCUACAUCAGAAGAAAUUACGUCAAAAUCCAGCUUGGGGGAAAGCACCCCCAUUUAUCCAGCUAAGUGUUUCUACUCCCGUUUAUACUUUACUCAAAUAAUAAAAAAAUGCAUAAUCAUAAAAACCCAAAUAAAGAUUUUAUGCUUAUAUAUAUCUAUGUUUAGUUUGCUAAAUAAAUAAAUAAAUAAAUAAAGUUUGCUAUGAACCCUCAUGAUAAGCUCUCAUAUGGAAAUGAUGAAUAGUUGCUCUGCCAUGACUAGUUCUCAAAAUUGAAUUCUCUCUCAAGUUUAGGCAUGACUGUUAUGAAUUAAGAUUUGCUCUAAACCUGAACUUGUGGGAAGAGUACUUGAUCUGAAGUCUAAGUCGUUAACGGAUACGAUAUGGGAAGGUUGAGCUGCUAUUUAUCUAUUCCUAGAGAUGCUAGAAUUCUAGAGAAUUUUAUCGUUGAAAAUCUUUCAAAUGUUGCAUGAUGAGUUCCUGUAUGAUGAGAGUUUAAAAUCCCACCACAGCCAUAUAUACAUGCUUAUUAGACUAUGAACCAUACAUUUACUUUUUACUGCUUAUGAGCAUUGAGUGUGGUCAAGCUGUGUAGACCCUUAGGAGCUUGUCAUGCAGUUAAAAUCAAGAUUCACUUGCACGUUCACUCAUACAUGCUUCUUCUACUCCGGAAGUACGCAUCCACAUACUUCCACUCAUUUCCAUCUCCAGAUUUACCCAAAAUUAUUCUACUCCUAUCUAGGAGAGAAUAGCCAAAAAUAUUAUCCCAUCCCUGUUAUUCCCCGUGAAAUAAAUGCUCGAGAUAUUUUGGUUACUACCACUUGCUACAUUAUUCCAGGAGGGUGAGUGCUCUGAAAAAAAGUGAAUACGAGGAAAUAAAAAGAGGCAAGUGCCCGAAACCUCGAAAGAAAAGAAAAAGUGAGACGAGAGGUAAAAAUGGACAAGUGUCCGACAGUAGAAUUAGGGGUACAGGAUACCCACCUGAGAGAAAAAAAAAAGAAAAUAUAGAGCAUCUAAUUCCCCUCAAAAAGCUUCAAAGUGCAAGAAAGGUAUGAAUCCCCUCAAAAGAGCAAGCAUAGAAUUAGACUUUCACCAUUGUUUUCACCAUUAUCACCAUCAUCACCAUACACCAUUCAUUCGCCACACAUGCACAUCUUGAUUUGACUUAUUGACUUGUUUCUCUGGAUCCAUGAUUUGACUAUGCAAUAAAUGUCUUGUAAGUAUGUAUUAGCUGUCUCCCACCUAUGAGCUCCACAUAUCAAAACCUUGUUAAAGUAGGGUGAGAGAGAAGGCAAUAUAAUUAUGCCUCAUAGAACAAAUAUCACAUACUUUGAGAGAAGGCAUAUAUCAUCACUGCCUUGGUAAGGAUCCAGAAAUACCACAAAAGAGAGACUAGAGAGAGUCAUACAAGGAAUCUCUGAGUUUUAUUUAAAAAUCUGCAAAAACUCCAGAGCUAUAGUUGAUCAAAGAACAAGAGACAUGGUGCUUGACUUGACCGUUCUAUCUUUUAACUGCUCAAGACACAACUGACGGUUGCAAGCCCCAUGGUUGAAGGUAAUAUGAGUAAGUUUAAAUCUUAAUAGUUUACCUUAACCAAGAGAUGAGAUCUUGUUUGAACGCAUGAGUACCUUUAAGGCAUAAAACCAUUGCAAAAACUCUUGAGUCCAUCCUUGCUCAGGGACAAGCAAGAGGUAAGCUUGGGGGAGUUUGUUGACGGUCCUUAAGUAUCAAAUUUAAUCAUCAAAUAAAUAAAGAAAAUGAUCCAAAUGUAACCAACACCUAGACUUAGGGUUUUAUCUGACAGAGUUCCACAAGUUUUGGUGUUUGUCUAUUUCUGCAGGAGGUUAUCAGGAAAUAUGGUGGAAAGGCCCACACGUUGGGUUUACAUAGAGAUAUUAACGUGCCGCGCAAUUUUCUGUCAUCUACAAGACUCCAUAAGCCACGGGAACAAAUGGGAAGUCGAGCGGGCUCGGGGGCAGGGCGCCCGCCCUGUCACAGAGUCCAAUCAGGACUCGCUUCGGGGAUUACGCUCCACCCACCUAAAGGAUCAAGGAUAACCGUUCAAUCAAUGUCGGUUUGAUCCGAUGGCCCAGAUUCACUUGAGGGGACUAUAUAAGCAGACCCCCUGGCCCCUGGAGGAGGCACCCCUUGACCCCCAUUCAUUAUUCAUAGACAGAGCAAAAGCUAGGGUUUGGAGAUGAGAGCUCUCCUCUCUUCUCUAAACUAGAGUAGAUCUAGAUAGUAGCGAGAUGGAGAGCGAGGGAGGAUUGGAGGAGAGGCCGGCCUGUCGGUUCUUCCUCCGGUUGUACUUCGUCAUGAUCAAGCUCUAAUUAAGCUUGCUCAUGGGAUGACUCUGGUAAUCUACUUCUAAUUCAUUAUGCAAUUACUAAUCAUGUAUGUUCUGGUUCACAACUCUUUUGAGUACUUUAAUCUAUAGGACACUAUAGGUGAGAGUUGUAGUAUAGGUGUAAGCGUGGUGCUUAGACCUAGAUUACUUGUGGAUAUCCCCUGUCUAGCUGGAUCGUGUGGUAUUCCGCGUAGGUGACAGUUACGUUCGUCCCCUGUAGUCCACCUCUUGUUAGCAGGACGGGUAGGGUUUAUCGGCCUAUGGAUAAGCAUCCUUUGUGGUGUAUUCUUAUCACGUGGUUCGUCCCAGACAUACACAUACCCCUUUGAAGUAGAGAAACCAUAGUUAUCCUCUCUAUAAUCCUACCAGUGCCCAUAUACUAGAUUGCUCUACUCUCUAUUCCCAUAUUAUCACCCAUUGUUAUCUUACCUUUAAUACUGUUCUUAUUCAAUUCUACCAUCUUUCUUAUUCACACCUGUCUAUCUAUCUUGGUUAAGUUAGAGUGUAGUUGGUUCUCCCAUUUCCCUGUGGAUACGAUAAAACCUUUGUCCAGGUAAAAGCUACAACGGUAUCCGUGCGCUUGCGGAUUUAUCUGUGUGCGUAUAAAUACCAUAGUACACUCUAGUGCCAUGCUGGGGAUGACAACCUAGUAUUCAAGUGGUGUUAGCAAGUGUCAACAACUAUUACUUCCUUCUUCUUGAAUAGACAUUCAAAACCAAGAUCACAAAGUUGUCCAACCGAGAGCAAGUUGAAACUUAAUGAUUGCACAUAGAGCACAUUGGUGAUGGAGUUGUCAUUUGAUAUAGCAACCUUUCCUAGACCCUUGACCUUGCCUUCUGAAUUGUCACCAAAUGUGGUCUUCUCUUGGUUGUCAACAUCUUCAUCAAGUGAGGUGAACAUCCGGGGAUCUCCGGUCAUAUGUUGAGUGCAACCACUAUCAAUUACCCAAUGUGAUCCACCGGUCUUGUAGUUCACCUACACACAAGAGAUCAAGCUUGAGAUUUAGGGACCCACACUUGCCUAGGGCCCUUGACCUUCUCUACUAGUUGCUUUGGCACCCAAAUCUUCUUUGGCCUUUGCUUGUUGGGCGGCCCCAUGAAGCUAACCUUGACCUUGCCACUCUUGUCUUUCCUUACAAUGUAGUGAGCAUUGAAGGCAAAUGGUCUAGCAUGCUUGGGCAAGGGUGGUGGUAGUGGUGCCUCACACUCAUGAGCAAAGUGUCCUUCUUGUCCACACUCAAAGCAUCUCACUACAAUAAAUUCCCUUAUACAUGACGGUUUUAUUGUGACCUUCUAACAAAUCAUCACAGAAUGUAGUCAUCCAUGAGGGUCCAAAUCCGAGUUGAUGAUGCAUGACAAUUGGUUGAAUUACCGUCAUAAGUGGAACGUCACGAAUCUUGCAGAAUCAUUUUACGGAUCAAUUUGGUCAUCUAUGACGGACUCAUUCAAAGGUCACUGAUAUAACAUGCAGGUUGCAUGCUGAUGCGAGCGUCCACGUCGUUCCUACGUGUCAGUUGGCACCGGUCUGGUGGGACCCACCUCACGGUGAGGGAUUUAAAUAGGGAAGAUGGGACCCACCUGUCAGUGAGGGAUUUAAAUAGGGAAGGUAAAUGCAAAGUGGUUCCCACCUCAUGGUGAGGGAUUUAAAUAGCGAAGAUGGGACCCACCUGUCAAUGAGGGAUUUAAAUAGGGAAGGUAAAUGUAAAAAAGGUGCCACAAGUGGGCUCUGAACCGUGCACAAUGUUUCCAACUGCAAGGAGCUAACCAGUUGGUCAUCGGUUGUAGUGUGCAUAAAGUUGACUUGUUUUAUCUUUUGACUUAAUGAAAUUUGGGAUAAUUCUUAAACAAAUUAGACGACCCCUGUCCAGACGACAACCUGUCUGUGACGGCACGCCCCUAUCUUCACCGCUCGGCGUCGCCCCUGUCCUUGCAGGCCGCCCGUCGUCGCCCCUCUCCUUGUCGGCCGCUCGGCGCCCACCGCCCCUCUCCUUGCCGGCCAUCCUAUCCAUGCUGGCCACCCUAUCCUCUCGAGCCGCCGCCGUCUGCACUGGCCGUGCGUGCGAUCCUUGCCUGUGCCGGCGGCGCCGGUCGUCUGGCCUUCGUCCUUGCCCGCGACGACAAGGAUACCGGGGAGCAGCCACGACAUCGACUUCGUGAAGCCCCCCUGCAGUGGAUCCAUUGCCACCGUGCGGUUCUUGUCCGCGUCGGCAGUGUGGCCCCUGUGCCCUGUCCUCGCCAGCCGCCACCGUCGGUGGUGAACGGGAAACCGAGGAGCAGCCACGGCAGCGGCUCCAUGAAGCCCACCUACAGGGGAUCCGUCACCCCGACCUCUAGAGGUCAGCUUCAACCGAUUUGAAUUGGUAUGUAUUUGAAUACAUAGUGUAAAUUAGUGUGUUACUUUGUUAGUUGAUGUGUGGCUGCAAUUGUAGGUUAUAAUGAUCUAUUUAAUUUCUGUAAUUUAUUUGUAGAUGGACAGGCGUUGGAUUCAUGGUGCUUUAUUUACCCCUCAGUACAUUUGUGGUGUCUGGUCUUUCAUGAAAUUUGUCAAAGAGAGGUUUUCUGAGUCUGAGAAGAUUUUGUGCCCAUGUUCAAGUUGUCUAAACACUAUAUCUUUAGAGCAAAAUGAAGUAGAGAGGCACCUACUGCUCAAUGGUAUGUCCAGCACAUAUACUAGGUGGAUAGAUCAUGGAGAGGAUAGAAAUAUUCAUGUUUUGGAGGAAGUAGCAGUAGCUGAGGAUGCAAAUGAUGUUUCUUUUGUACUUGAGCACACCAAUGGUGAUGGUGGACUUGAAGAGAUGUUAAAGGAACUAGUCACUUCUGAAUCACAUAGAAAUGAGGCUAGAACUGAAGAUGGAAAUGAGGGUGCUGCAUCACAUUUCAAAAAGCUGAUUGAAGAUGGUAAGCGUGAGCUAUAUCCUGGUUGUAUGAACUUUACAAGGUUCACAUUUGUAAUCAAGAUGCUCCAUGUGAAGUCAUACUAUAGGAUCACUAACUCAGAAUUUUCUGUAAUUAUGAAGAUUUUGUCAGAAGCUUUCCCACAGUUCAAUACUAUUCCAAUGUCGUAUGAGGAAGCAAAGAAAAUGCUUUGUAAGUUUGGACUUUGUUAUGAAUCAAUUCAUGUGUGCCCCAACAAUUGUGUGUUAUUUAGAAAAGACAAUAAAGACAAGGAUAAUUGUCCAGUUUGUGGGGCAUCUAGAUGGAAAGAUCCUAGUAGGAAGAAGGUUCUAGAAAAAGUAUUGCGGCAUUUUCCAUUGGUCCAUAGGCUGCAAAGGAUGUUUGUUUCAAAGAAAAGAUCAGAGGAAGCACAAUGGCAUAAGUUGAAGAGGAAACACAAUGAGAAGGAAAUGACCCAUCCUGCAGAUGGAAAGGCCUGGGAAGAUUUGGACAACCGCUGGCCUGAUUUUGCUCAAGAUGCACGAAACAUAAGACUUGGACUUGCCACAGAUGGUUUCAACCCAUUUAGCAACAUGACUUCAUCUUAUAGCAUGUGGCCUAUUUUGUGAUUCCAUACAACUUACCACCUUCGGCAUGCAUGGAUGAAUCUAAUUUCAUGAUGGCUUUGUUGAUUCCUGGUCCUAGGUCUUCAGGGAAGGCCUUAGAUGUUUUCUUGCAACCUCUUGUAGAAGAACUACUUCAGCUAUGGUCUAGUGUGGAUACUCUUGAUGCUAUCACCGGACUAGAUUUCAAGCUUCGUGCUGCAGUGUUGUGGUGUAUUCAUGAUUAUCCAGCACUAAGUACCCUAUCAGGCCAUACCACAAGUGGUUACUUUGCUUGUCUCCAUUGUGACUAGAAUCCGUUGUCGUAUACCAUAAGGAGCAAGCUAUGUUAUAUUUGGCAUUGUCGUUUCCUUCCAAAAGGUCAUCAUUUGUGCAAGGAUAAUGAAUUUGCAUCCAUCCAUGAUAGUAGUGUGAAGCCAGCUAGUUUCACCACAGAAGAGGUGCUAGAAGAAUUAGAAAAGGUUAGAGAUGUUAGAGUUGGAGAGAAAAGGAAGCGUUCGGGCAAAAGUGUCCCAAUUUGGGGGAGAAGGAAUUGUCUGUGGGUCUUACCGUAUUGGCCAUCUCUAAAGCUUAGACACAAUCUAGAUGUCAUGCAUAUUGAAAAAAAAAUGUUUGUGAAAGCCUCCUUGGUACUAUUCUGGACAUAAAAGGGAUGUCAAAGGACAUAGUUAAUGCAAGGCUCGACCUGGCUGAUUUGGGUAUUAGAAAGGAAUUGCAAUUAUAGAAUAGUGGAGAUUCAUAUUACAUGCCCAAAGCGUGAUAUACGCUGUCGAAGACUAAGAAGGUUCAAUUUUGUAAUUUCUUGUUGGAGGCCAAGUUUCCAGACGGAUAUGCUUCAAAUAUACAAAGAUGCUUAAAUGCUGACUCACUAAAGUGGCAAGGCCUAAAAACUCAUGACUGCCACAUUCUAUUCCAAAGGAUUAUACCAGCUGGGUUGAGAGGGCUUUUGGAUGAUGAUAUAUAUCAAACACUUGCUGAGUUGGGCAAAUUCUUUAGGGAAUUGUGCAGCCAAAAAACUAAACAAAGAUGUCUUGGCUCGAAUGAAGACUGAAAUACCAUUCAUAUUGUGCAAGCUUGAGAAAAUCUUUCCCCUGCUUUUUUUUUGAUGUCAUGGUUCACCUUGCUGUCUGUUGGGUAUUCUUAACAUCAUUACCAAAAGUAGACUAAGUUCUAUAAAUCUAGUAACGGUGCCAAAAAUGCCAAACCUAUCCCUCAUACCACUUAAGCCAAGUUGUCAUCCCCAGCAUGACAUGAGAGAUGCGGUAUUGAAAUAUGCAAUUGCUCUUCUAAAUAAAUAAUGAAUGGGAUCUGCAAGCGCGCAGAUUAAUACCGUUGUAGCAUUUUAACCGGGAAGUAUUCCAAGUAUCGUUAUUUAUAUUUUUACCACUGGGAAGGGAUUAGCAAUCAUCAAUAUUGAUUACAGAAUAGAAUAUGAGAUUGUGUAUCUAUCAUUGCAUGUAUAAUUGAGAACAUUUAUCUAACUCUUCUAUACAGUGGUAAGUGUCACAUAAAAGAUAUAUGAAAUAAUGAAUAGUGACAAGGAAAAUUAAUCUGAUCAGCCACAUAUAAAUAUGAGAAGCACCUCAAUUAGAUACUCUAGAAAGUCAUUAGCAUGGUAUUAGAACGAACUACAAGAAUAUUCCCUAAGUUAUUCUCAACUAUAUAGUCUAGCAUUAUCAUAGUUAGUGCAAGCAUACUUAGCAAUCAUUGCGAGACAAGACUACGCCCAUGCAUAGUGAUAUUAGCAAGGUAAAUGAGAAACAUAGCAAUCACUCCCCUGUAAUAAUGUUGCUCUGGCAGCCCAAUACACGAGAGGGGGAUUAUAUAAGAAUCAAUGAAGCUGUCACUAUCACGAACUACCCCACGAUCUGGCAUAUUGGGUACAAUCGCAGAUAAAUAUGGUAUAAGCACCACGCCUACACAAUAUCUAUCAUUUAUCCAUGGAUCCGAUGGAUAAACGCUAUACGAUCCUAAGCAUGUAUAUAGAUCCAAUCUAACUAAGCCAAGUACAUAACUAUGAUAAACUAAGAACAAUAUAAUCUUGAAUAUAAGCAAGUAGAGCAAAGUCAUAAGCAAUAUAUUGAAGUAGAACAAAGUCAUAUUCAUAAUACUGAAGAACAAAGAUGAUUAGAAGAACAAUUAGAAGCACAAUUAGAGAAUUACCAAGAAUCCUCUUGACAGAUCCGGAAACAAAUCGAAGAUUGACUCCUUCUAGUUCUAAUCCUAUUUAGCUAUGCUAAUCUAGAUAUCUAAUUGAUGUGGUGGCUCUAAUCUUGAUCAGUGGCUUCUUCUCCCUUGAGAAUAAUGAAUUAGGGUUGAGAGGCUCUCCCCUCCAGGGGCCAGGGGGUCUGGUUUUAUAGUCCCUUCGAGUGAAUAUGGGCCAUUGGAUCAAACCGACAUUGAUUGAACGGUUAUCCUUGAUCCUUUAGGUCGGUGGAGAUCUCCCGAGAAACAGAGUCCUGACUGGACUCCAGAGGUGGGCGGGCGCCCAGGUGAACAGGGCGGGCGCCCUGCCUCUGGCCCCGUUUCGCCUCCGCUUCGGUCCCGUGGCUUCUGGAGUCUUCUAGAUGUAAGAUAAUUGCGCGGCACGUUAAUAUCUCUAUGUAAUCCCGACGUGUGGGCCUUUCUUCCGUAUUUCCUGAUAACCCCCUGCAGAAAUAGACAAACACCAAAACUCGUGGAAUUCUGUCAGAUAAAACCCUAAGUCUAGAUGUUGAUUUCAUUUUGAUCCUUUUCUUUGUUUAUUUGAUAAUUAAAUUUGAUACUUAAGGACCGUCAACAAAGUCCCCCAAGCUUACCUCUUGCUCGUCCCUGAGCAAGGAUAGACUCAGCUAUGGAUCAUAAGUUGUUGCAAUAUUUUUUAAAAAUUUGACGGUACACAUGCUUUUUAAAUAAGAUCUCAUCUCUGAGUUAGAGUAAACUAUCAAGACUUAAAACUUACUUACUUUACCUUUCACCAUGGGACUUGUAACCGUCACUUCUGUCUUGAGUAAUUAAAAGAUAGAACAGUCUAGUCAAGUGCCAUGUCUCUUAUUCUUGAUCAGCUAUAGCUCUGGAGUUUUUGCAGAUUUUCAAAUAAAACUCAGAGAUUCCUUGUAUGACUCUCUUAGAUCUCUCUUUUGUGGUAUUUCUGGAUCCUUACCAAGGCAGUGAUGGUGUAUGCCUUCUCUCAAAAUAUAUAGUAUUUGUGGUAUAAGGCAUAGUGAUAUUGCCUUCUCUCUCACCCUACUCUAAUAAGGCUUUAAUAUCUGGAGCUCAUAGGUGGGAGAUAAAGUAUACAUACUUACAAGACAUUUAUUGUAUAGUCAAACCAUGGAUCCAAAGAAAUAAAUCAAUAAGCCAAAUCAAGGUGUGCAUGUGUGGCGAAUGAAUGGUGUAUGGUGACAACAAUGGUGAAAGCCUAAUUCUACUUUUGCUCUUUGAGGGGAUACAUACCUUCCUUGCUUUUUGAAACUUUGUGUGGAGAAUGAGAUGCUCUUCUUUUUCUUUCCUCUCAGGUGGGUAUCUUGUACCCCUAAUUCUACUGUCGGACACUUGUCCAUUUUUACCUCUCAUCUCACUUUUUCUUUUCUUUCGAGGUUCCGAGCACUUGCUCCUUUUUAUUUCCUUGUAUAUUUUUUUAGACCACUCAUCUCUUGAGAUAAUAUAGCAAGUGGUAGUAACAAGAUAACUUGAGCAUUUAUUUCAGAAGGGAAAAACAGAAAUAUUUUUGGCUAUUCUCUCCCGGAUUAGGAGUAGAAUAUUUUUGGGUGAUUCUGGAGAUGGAAUGGGUGGAUAUAUGUGGAUGGUACUUCCGGAGUAGAAGUAGCAUAUAUGAGUGAACGUGCAAGUAAAAUCUUGAUUUAACCACAUGACAAGCUCCUAAGGGUCUACACAGCUUGACCACACUCAAUGCUCAUAAGCAGUAAAUAGUAAAUGUGUGGCUCAAAGUCUAGCAAGCAUAUAUAUAUGGCUGUGGUAGGAAUUUAAACUCUCAUCAUAUAGAAACUCAUCAUGCAAUAUUUUAAAGAUUUUUCAAUGAUAAAAUUCUCCAGAAUUCUAGCAUCUCUAGGAACAGAUAAACAGCAGCUCAACCUUCCCAUAUUGUAUCCGUUAACAACUUAGACUUCAGAUCAAGUUUUCAUCCCACAAGUUUAGGUCUAGCGCAAGCUUUAAAUUAUAACAGUUAUAUCUAAACUUGAGAGAGAACUUCAAAUUUGCAAAUUAGGCAGAGCAACUAUUCAUCAUAUCCAUGCUUGAGUUUUAUUUAGACACAGAUUAGCAUAGCCACUUUAUUUAUUUAUUAAACACACUAAGCAAAAGAUAUAGAUAUAUAUAUAAGCAUAAAAUCUUUAUUUGGUGUUCCAUAGUUAUGUAUAAUUAUAUUUUAAUAUAGUAUAAGUAUAAAGAUAGAUUGAUAGAAAUACUUAUUGGGAUAAAUGGGGGUGCUCUCCCCCAAGCUGAAUUUUGACGUAAUUUCCUUUGAUGUAGCUAGCAGGUGGCAGAGGUGUAUUUGAAAGUCACCAGCAUUCUGACAGCGAUUAGAAUGUCCUCCGUCUGCUAGUCUUCUUGAUUCUUAGAUUCUGUGGAACUCAAAUAGACAACAAAGCUUGUGGAACUAAUUAAGUGUUAGCAUAAAUAUCUAGCCUUUAUCAUGUUGAGUCUCCUUAAUAAUUAUUACUCCCUGUUUUUAUAUUUUCAUUUUAUAAAGCAGAAAAAUAUUUAUUUUAUUUUUAUGCCACCACAGUGAAUGUACUUAUGGGUUUUAUGCCACUCGUCUACUCACAUGGGGCUUACGGUUUUUCACAUUUUUAUUUUCUUUUUAGGAUAGCAUGAACAUGAUUAACUAAGCAAACUAUUUUAAAUAAGUAAACUAGUUGAAAUAAUUGAAAGGAAAAAGAUAACUACUAAGUUUACCUCUUGGCAAGGCGUUCGGUGUUUUUAAGUCCUCCGAACGGGACUCUCUAUUUUCUCAAUUGUCCUGGGAUUCGUUAGGUGGCAGAGUCGGUACUUCCGGCAGCGCCUCCUCUUCAUGUAUAGUUAUCUUCUCUUUCCAUACCUGACUCGGUGCUACGGUCUCCUUUGGAUAAUUUUGUUUAAACUCUACGUCUUCUGACCAUACAACUUCUCCUUCAUAGUCUACCCAUCCAUCCUUGAUGAUCUGCCUCCUCUGGUUGCGGUUGCGUCGUUUCCUUACCCGCUUAGAUUCUUCAACGAUAUAGUUAGGAUCAGUAAAAUAGCGGCGUACCUUCUCUGAGGGGAAGUGCAUAUGGACUUCUCCGGUUCCAAUGUAGAUAAUUGCUUUAACAGUGCUGAGGAAUGGUCUCCUAAGGAUGAUGGGUGGAUCGUAUUCAUCUUCUCCCAUGUCAAUAACUUGAAAGUCUGUGUAGACAAAAUGAUCAUCUAUUUUGACUGGGACAUCAGUUACUAUUCCUUUGACUUCUCGAAACGUCUGAUCUGCCAUCUGGAGCUAAAUGUAUGUUGGUCUUAGGGGCAUGGUUCCGAACAAGAGCCGAUAGGUGACUGCGGCCAUUAUGUUGACGCCCGACCCGGUGUCGCAAAACGUCUUGUAGAAGUUGUAUCCAUUUAUGGAGCAGUAGAUGCUUGGCAUUCCUGGGUCGUUCUUCUUGGUCAAAAACGGUGAAUUUAGUUGACGAUCUUAACCUCCAUGAACUGCAGUGACCAUCUUACCUAACUCGGUCCACACUUGCUUGUUCCUGUUCCUCCUGUUGGUCCUCUUCCUUGAUUCACGUCUGGAUUGAUCAGGAAUUUGUGUAGUCUUGUUCUUGAAGAAGAACGUCUCCUUCCUCCCUUUGAUGUAGAAACUGAUCUUGGCAGCACUAGCGUACAUGAUAGCUCCUGAGGUGUUUAAGAAUGGCCUCCCUAAGAUGAUAGGUGCUCUCUCAUCAUUACCAGUCUCUACCACUACGAAGUCUGCUGGUGCGUACAAGGUACCAACUCGGACACAAAGGUUCUUCAAUAUUCCCUUUGGAAAAGUUAUUGCCUGAUCUGCAAACUGCAAACACAUGGUUGUCUCUAAUAAAGGAUAUGUAAAGAAUUUUUCAUAGAGUACCCUGGGUAUAAUGUUGACACUAGAGCCAAAGUCGCAGAGUGCUUCUGGGACGUCCACCAUGCCGAUGGAGUUCGGGAUGACGGGGCGUCCUGGAUCACCUCUCUUGACCGGCAGAAGGUCAGAAGUGAAUUCAGUGACGGGGUUACUCCAGUUAUUACCUGCAUCAAUCAUGUCUACAAGAUUUGCAGAUUCUAAUCCUUCCGGUUGUGAUGGUAUACCGGGGUUAGUAGUAGGAACAGCAGCAGCUAUUUGAUUUAACUGAGAUUCAAUCAUUUUAUUAAAGCUAAUUUGAUUCUUGAUGGCAGUAGAGAAAUUAUCUAUUCUAUUAUUUAUAUUUUCUAGCAUUUUAUCAUUAGAUAGGUUAUCCAUUAGCUUUCCUUGAUUAGACACUAACUCUCUCAGAGGUGGAAAAUUAUUAUUAUUGUUGUAAGAAUUAUUACCUUGAUAAUUACCUGAGUAGUUAGGCCUCUGUUGAUUCCAACCUUGAUUUUGUUGAGGACGGUUGUAGUAGUAGUUGUUGUUGUUGUUGAUGUAGUUCACAUCCUUAAGCAUCUCAGGGCAGUGAUUGCCUGAGUGUCCAGUGUCUCCACACUCCUCACAAGUCAUGUGAGAGUCGUAGAUGUGCAUAACUUCUUUCUUAUCUCUUGCUCUAUCGCCGAGCUUCUUCAUGAGCAGGUCUAGCUUUGCAGACAACAUGUCUACCUCCUUGAGCUGAUGCAUACCUCCACCUCUCUUGCGUGUCUGGGUCCUCUCUUCAUUCUAGCUUUGGUUGGACGCCAUCUUCUCCACAAGAGCUAUGGCUUGUGAUAUGGUGAGUGAUAAGAAUGCUCCUCCAGCUGCAGCAUCCAUGGCUUCUCGGGCACUGCUGCCGAGUCCAUGAUAAAACGUCUGCAUCAGUAGCCAACUCUCCAUUCCAUGAUGGAGACAUUCUAGGAUGUAGUCUUGGAAGCGCUCCCAUGCUUCUGGAACAGAUUCAUAAUUUUGUUGCUGAAAACUUGUAAUCUUCCCACGGAGAGCAUUGGUCUUGCCCAUGAGAAAGAACUUAGCCAGGAAGUUUGUUGAGCAGAGUGCCCAUGUAGUAUUCUUCUCCUUUGUAGGGUAGAACCACUGCUUCGCUCUUCCUAACAGUGAGAAUGGGAAGAGGCGAAGUAGUAUAGCAUCUUUGGAAACUCUGAAUGUGUUGCAAAUCUCCAGGAAGUGUUGGAGAUGAGCACUAGCAUCUUCAUGUGCCUUCCCACAGAACUGGUUGGAUUGCACCACGUUGAUUAGUCCAGGCUUGAGCUCAAAGUUGCCGCAAUCUCUGCAGGAGGUCCAGUGCGGAUGUUUUCCGUAGUGGGAGCUGAGAACUCGCGGAUUGAUUUGUUCGCCAUGGCUUCGAACUCUGAAGACAAGUUCCGGUGAUCUUCUUGAUUGGAUGAAGCUUCUUGCUGAAGUGUUGAUGAUCUCUUCUUGAGCUUGGCACUUGUCUUCUUGAAUAACGCUUCGGGAUUGUCAACAAAAUUUCCUGGAAGAUGUCUUCUAUUCAUACAUUCCCCUGCAUAAGAUAAAAUAGAAAAAUAUCGGGGUAAAACUGUAUGAGAGAAUAGAUAAGCUCAAUCAUAUUAGUGAUGCGAAUGAUAACUCAAAAUCUUUUAUUCCAUUCUUGAUUAGUAAUCAACCUUCCCCGGCAACGGCGCCAAAAAUGCUUGUUGGGUAUUCUUAACAUCAUUACCAAAAGUAGACUAAGUUCUCUAAAUCUAGUAACGGUGCCAAAAAUGCCAAACCUAUCCCUCAUACCACUUAAGACAAGUUGUCAUCCCCAGCAUGACAUGAGAGACGCAGUAUUGAAAUAUGCAAUUGCUCUUCUAAAUAAAUAAGGAAUGGAAUCUGCAAGCGCACAGAUUAAUAUCGAUGUAGCAUUUUAACCGGAAAGUAUUCCAGGUAUCGUUAUUUAUAUUUUUUCUACUGGGAAGGGAUUAGUAAUCAUCAAUAUUGAUUACAGAAUAGAAUAUGAGAUUGAGUAUCUAUCAUUGCAUGUAUAAUUGAGAACAUUUAUCUAACUCUUCUAUACAGGGGUAAGUGUCACAUAAAAGAUAUAUGAAAUAAUGAAUAGUGACAUGGAUAAUUAAUCUGAUCAGCCACAUAUAAAUAUGAUAAGCACCUCAAUUAGAUACUCUAGAAAGUCAUUAGCAUGGUAUUAGAACGAACUACAAGAAUAUUCCCUAAGUUAUUCUGAACUAUAUAGUCUAGCAUUUUCAUAGUUAGUGCAAGCAUACUUAGCAAUCAUUGUGAGACAAUACUACGCCCAUGCAUAGUGAUAUUAGCAAGGUAAAUGAGAAACAUAGCAAUCACUCCCCUGUAAUAAUGUUGCUCUGGCAGCCCAAUACAUGAGAGGGGGACUAUAUAAGAAUCAAUGAAGCUGUCACUAUCACGAACUACCCCACAAUUUGGCAUAUUGGGUACAAUCACAGAUAAAUACGGUAUAAGCACCAAGCCUACACAAUAUCUAUCAUUUACCCAUGGAUCCGAUGGAUAAACGCUAUACGAUCCUAAGCUUGUAUAUAGAUCCAAUCUAACUAAGCCAAGUACAUAACUAUGAUAAACUAAGAACAAUAUAAUCUUGAAUAUAAGCAAGUAGAGCAAAGUCAUAAGCAAUGUAUUGAAGUAGAACAAAGUCAUAUUCAUAAUACUGAAGAACAAAGAUGAUUAGAAGAACAAUUAGAAGCACAAUUAGAGAAUUACCAAGAAUCCUCUUGACAAAUCCGGAAACCAAUCAAAGAUUGACUCCUUCUAGUUCUAAUCCUAUGUAGCUAUGCUAAUCUAGAUAUCUAAUUGAUGUGGUGGCUCUAAUCUUGAUCAGGGGCUUCUUCUCCCUUGAGAAUAAUGAAUUAGGGUUGAGAGGCUCUCCCCUCCAGGGGCCAAGGGGUCUGGUUUUAUAGUCCCUUCAAGUGAAUAUGGGCCGUUGGAUCAAACCGACAUUGAUUGAACGGUUAUCCUUGAUCCUUUAGGUCGGUGGAGAUCUCCCGAGAAACAGAGUCCUGAUUGGACUCCAGAGGUGGGCGGGCGCCCAGGGGAACAGGGCGGGCGCCCUGCCUCUGGCCUCGUUUCGCCUCCGCUUCGGUCCCGUGGCUUCUGGAGUCUUCUAGAUGUAAGAUAAUUGCGCGGCACAUUAAUAUCUCUAUGUAAUCCCGACGUGUGGGCCUUUCUUCCGUAUUUCCUGAUAACCCCCUGCAGAAAUAGACAAACACCAAAACUCGUGGAAUUCUGUCAGAUAAAACCCUAAGUCUUGAUGUUGAUUUCAUUUGGAUCCUUUUCUUUGUUUAUUUGAUAAUUAAAUUUGAUACUUAAGGACCGUCAACAGUACCCGUAUUCGAUGUGGCAUUUCCAACAUCAUCAUUAUACCAUAACCAUCCACAUGUUCCAUAAGCAUUACUACGAUGACGAAGCUCAAGUCAAUUGCUCACUGUCCAGGAGCGAUGGCGAUUCGAAUCGAUUUCUAACCAGCUGGCGAUUUUAUUCCCCACACAAACCACACUCACUGAUCAAGUGAGCUACAGGUCACCAUAUUACACUAUCCAGGACCAAUUUGCGGGUUCGACAGGCACCGCCCGUACCUGAGGACCGUUACGACGGCCGAGGUAUCCAAGGUAUACCAAGGUUGCGCGCCACGCCCUCGUCGUUCUCCUCAACCAUCACCAAUACAGCGCGUACAUCGGGCCGAUUCCCGGCCCAGAUAGUGUUCAGGCUUCGCGGUCGGAAUGACUUAUCCUUCUAGCUAAGUGUGGGGCAUGCGUUCAACAUGACAAGAGGGCCGUCAACGAUUGGUCCUUAAUCGACACAGGCGGAGAUAGAUAGGCACCCAACACCUUGUUGACGGUCCUUAAGUAUCAAAUUUAAUUAUCAAAUAAAUAAAGAAAAGGAUCCAAAUGAAAUCAAGAUCUAGACUUAGGGUUUUAUCUGACAGAAUUCCAUGAGUUUUGGUGUUUGUCUAUUUCUGCAGGGGGUUAUCACGAAAUAUGGAAGAAAGGCCCACAUGUCAGGAUUACAUAAAGGUAUUAACGUGCUGCGCAAUUAUCAUACAUCUAGAAGACUCCAGAAGCCACGAGACCGAAGCGGAGGCGAAACGGGGCCAGAGGCAGGGCGCCCGCCCUGUCCUACUGGGCGCCCGCCCCCUGUUGGAGUCCAAUCAGGACUCUGCUUUGCGGGAGAUCUCCACCGACCUAAAGGAUGAAUCUAAACCAUACAAUCUAUGUCGGUUUGAUCCAAGGGCCCAUAUUCACUUGAAGGGACUACAAAACCAGACCCCCUGGCCCCUGGAGGAGGGAGCCUCUCAACCCUAAUUCAUUGUUCUUCAAGGGAGAAGAAGCCUCUGAUCAAGAUUAGAGCCACCACAUCAAUUAGAUAUCUAGAUUAGCAUAGCUACAUAGGAUUAGAACUAGAAGGAGUCAAUCUUCGAUUGGUUUCCGGAUCUGUCAGGAGGAUUCUUGGUAAUUCUCUAAUUGUGCUUCUAAUUGCUUUCUAAUUAUCUUUGUUCUUCAAUAUUAUGAAUAUGACUUUGUUCUACUUCAAUAUAUUGCUUAUGACUUUGCUCUACUUGCUUAUAUUCAAGAUUAUAUUGUUCUUAGUUUAUCAUAGUUAUGUACUUGGCUUAGUUAGAUACGAUCUAUAUACAUGCUUAGGAUCGUAUAGCGUUUAUCGAUCGGAUCCAUGGGUAAAUGAUAGAUAUUGUGUAGGCGUGGUGCUUAUACCGUAUUUAUCUGCGAUUGUAUCCAAUAUGCCAGAUCGUGGGGUGGUUCGUGAUAGUGACAGCUUCAUUGAUUCUUAUAUAGUCCCCCUCUCGUGUAUUGGGCUGGCAGAGCAACAUUAUUACAGGGGAGUGAUUGCUAUGUUUCUCAUAUUCCUUGCUAAUAUCACUAUGCAUGGGCGUAGUCUUGUCUCGCAAUGAUUGCUAAGUAUGCUUGCACUAACUAUGAUAAUGCUAGACUAUAUAGUUAAGAAUAACUUAAGGAAUAUUCUUGUAGUUCAUUCUAAUACCAUGCUAAUGACUUUCUAGAGUAUCUAAUUGAGGUGCUUGUCAUAUUUAUUAUGUGGCUAGAUCAGAUUAGUUAUCCUUAUCAUUAUUAUUAUUUCAUAUAUCCUUUAUGUGACACUUAUCCCUGUAUGAAGAGUUAGAUAUAAUGUUCUCAAUUAUACAUGCAAUGAUAUAUGCUCAAUCUCAUAUUCUAUUCUGUAAUCAAUAUUGAUGAUUGUUAAUCCCUUCCCAGUGGUAAAAAUAUAAAUAACGAUACCUGGAAUACUUCUCGGUUAAAAUGCUACAUCGGUAUUAAUCUGUGCGCUUGCAGAUCCCAUUUAUUAUUUAUUUAGAAGAGCAAUUGCAUAUUUCAAUACCGCGUCUUUGUCAUGCUGGGGAUGACAACUUGGCUUAAGUGGUGUGAGGGAUAGGUUUGGCAUUUUUGGCACCGUUGCUAGAUUUAGAACUUAGUCUACCUUUAGUAAUGAUGUUAUGAAUACCCAACAAGCAUUUUUGGCGCCGUUGCCGGGGAAGGUUGAUUACCAAUCAGGAAUGGAAUAAAAGAUUUUGAGUUAUCAUUCGCAUCACUAAUAUGAUUGAGCUUAUCUAUUCUCUCAUACAGUUUUACCCCGAUAUUUUCCUAUUUCAUCUUAUGCAGGGGAAUGUAUGAAUAGAAGACAUCUUCCAGGAAAUUUUGUUGACAAUCCCGAAGCAUUAUUCAAGAAGACGAGAGCCAAGCUAAAGAAAUCAUCAACACUUCAGCAAGAAGCUUCAUCCAAUCAAGAAGAUCACCGGUACUUGUCUUCAGAGUUCGAAGCCAUGGCGAACAAAUCAAUCCGCGAGUUCUCAGCUCCCACUACGGACAACAUCCGCACUGGACCUGCUGCAGAGAUCGAUGGCAACUUUGAGCUCAAGCCUGGACUUAUCAACAUGGUGCAAUCCAACCAGUUCUGUGGGAAGGCACACGAAGAUGCUAGUGCUCAUUUACAACACUUCCUGGAGAUUUGCAACACAUUCACCAUAGCAGGAGUUUCCCAAGACGCUAUACUACUUCGCCUCUUCCCAUUCUCACUGUUAGGAAGAGCGAAGCAGUGGUUCUACGCUACAAAGGAGAAGAAUACUACGUGGGCACUCUGCUCAACAAACUUCCUGGCUAAGUUCUUUCCCAUGGGCAAGACCAAUGCUCUCCGUGGGAAGAUUACGAGUUUUCAGCAACAAAAUGAUGAAUCUGUUCCAGAAGCAUGGGAGCGCUUCAAGACUACAUCCUAGAAUGUCCCCAUCAUGGAAUGGAGAGUUGGCUACUGAUGCAGACGUUUUAUCAUGGGCUCGGCAACAGUUCCCGAGAGACCAUGGAUGCUGCAGCUGGAGGAGCAUUCUUAUCACUUACUAUACCACAAGCCACAGCUCUUGUGGAGAAGAUGGCGUCCAAUCAAAGCUGGAAUGAAGAGAGGAGCCAGACACGCAAGAGAGGUGGAGGUAUGCAUCAGCUGAAGGAGGUAGACAUGCUCUCUGCAAAGCUAGACCUGCUCAUGAAGAAGCUCGACGAUAUAGCUGGAGACAAGAAAGAAGCUAUGCACAUCUACGACUCUCACAUGACUUGUGAGGAGUGUGGAGACACUGGACACUCAGGCAAUCACUGCCCUGAGAUGCUUGAGGAUGUGAACUACAUCAACAACAACAACUACUACUACUACAACCGUCCUCAACAAAAUCAAGGUUGGAAUCAACAGAGGCCUAACUACUCAGGUAAUUAUCAAGGUAACAAUUCUUACAACAAUGCUAAUAAUUUUCCACCAUUGAGAGAGUUAGUGUCUAAUCAAGGCAAGCUAAUGGAUAACCUAUCUAAGAAAUUGGCAUCUAAUGAUAAAAUGCUAGAAAAUAUAAAUAAUAGAAUGGAUAAUUUCUCUACUGCCAUCAAGAAUCAAAUUAGCUUUAAUAAAAUGAUUGAAUCUCAGUUAAAUCAAAUUGCUGCUGCUGUUCCUGCUACUAACCCCGGUAUACCAUCACAACCGGAAGGAUUAGAAUCUGCAAAUCUUGUAGACAUGUUUGAUGCAGGUAAUUGGAGUAACCCCGUCACUGAAUUUUCUACUAACCGUCUGCCGGUCAAGAGAGGAGAUCCAGGACGCCCCGUCAUCCCGAUCUCUAUCGGCAUGGUGGAUGUCCCAGAAGCACUCUGCGACUUUGGCUCCAGUGUCAACAUUAUACCCAGGGUACUCUAUGAGAAAUUCUUUACAUAUCCUUUAUUAGAGACAACCAUGUGUUUGCAGUUUGCAGAUCAGACGAUAACUUUCCCAAACGGAAUAGUGAGGAACCUUUGUGUCCGAGUUGGUACCUUGUAUGCCCCAGCAGACUUCGUAGUGGUAGAGACCGGAAAUGAUGAGAGAGCACCUAUCAUCUUAGGGAGGCCAUUUUUGAACACCACGGGAGCUAUCAUCUACGCUAGUGCUGCCAAUAUCAGUUUCUACGUCAAAGAGAAGAAGGAGACAUUUUUCUUCAAGAACAAGACUACACAAAUUCAAGAUCAAUCCAGACGUGAAUCAAGGAAGAGGACCAACAGGAGGAACAGGAACAAGCAAGUGUGGACCGAGUCAGCUAAGAUGGUCACUGUAGUCCAUGGAGGCCAAGAUCACCAACUUAAGUCACCGUUUUUGACCAAGAAGGACGACCCAGGAAUGCCAAGCAUUUACUGCUCCAUAAAUGGAUACAACUUUUACAAGACGAUUUGCGACACCGGAUCAGGCGUCAACAUAAUGGCCGCAGUCACUUAUCGGCUCUUGUUCGGGACAAUGCCACUAAGACCAACAUACAUUCAGCUCCAGAUGGCAGAUCAGACAUUUCGAGAAGUUAAAGGAAUAGUAUCUGAUGUCCCAGUCAAAAUAGACAAUCACUUUGUCUACACAGACUUUCAAGUUGUUGACAUGGGAGAAGACGAGUAUGAUCCACCCAUCAUCCUUGGAAGACCAUUCCUCAGCACCGUUAAAGCAAUUAUCUACAUUGGAACCGGAGAAGUCCAUAUGCACUUCCCCUCAGAGAAGGUACGCCGUUAUUUUACUGACCCUAACUAUAUCAUUGAAGAAUCUAAGCAGGUCAGAAAAAGACGCAACCGCAACCAGAGGAGGCAGAUCAUCAAGGACGGAUGGGCAGACUAUGAAGGAGAAGUUGUAAGGUCAGAAGACGUUGAAUUUAAACAGAAUUAUCCAGAGGAGAUUGAAGCACCGAGUCAGGUAUGGAAAAUGAAGAUAACUAUACAAGAAGAGGAGGCGCUGCCGGAAGUACCGACUACGCCACCCAACGAACCUCAGGACGAUUAAGAAAUUGGAGAGUCCCGUUCGGAGGACUUAAAAACACCGAACGCCUUGCCAAGAGGUAAACUUGGUAGUUACCCUUUCCUUUCAGUUAUUUGAAAUAGUUUAAUUAGUUAAUCAUAUUCACACUAUCUUAAAAGGAAAAUAAAAAUGUUAAAAACUAUAAGCCCCAUGUGAGUAGACGAGUGGCAUAAAACCCAUAAGUACAUUCACUGUGGUGGCAUAAAAAUAAAAUAAAUAUUUUUCUGCUUUAUAAAAUAAAAAUAUAAAAACAGGGAGUAAUAAUUAUUAAGGAGUCUCAAGAUAAUAAAGGCUAGAUAUUUAUGCUAACACUUAAUCAGUUCCACAAGCUUUGUUGUCUAUUUGAGCUCCACAGAAUUUAAGAAUCAAGAAGACUAGCAGACGGAGGACAUUCUAAUCGCUCUCAGAAUGCUGCUGACUUUCAAAUACACCUCUGCUACCUGCUAGCUACAUCAAGAGAAAUUACGUCAAAAUUCAGCUUGGGGGAGAGCACCCCCAUUUAUCUCGAUAAGUAUUUCUAUCUAUCUUUAUACUUAUAUUAUUUUAGAAUAUUAAAAUACAUAAACUAUGAAAAACCAAAUAAAGAUUUUAUACUUAUAUAUAUAUCUUUUGCUUAGUAUGUUUAAUAAAUAAAUAAAGUGGCUAUGCUAAUCUGUAUGUAAAUAAAACUUAAGCAUGGAUAUGAUGAAUAGUUGCUCUGCCUAAUUUGCACAUUUUAAGUUCUCUCUCAAGUUUAGAUAUAACUGUUAUAAUUUAAAGCUUGCUCUAGACCUAAACUUGUGGGAUGAAAACUUGAUCUGAAGUCUAAGUUGUUAACGGAUACGAUAUGGGAAGGUUGAGCUGCUGUUUAUCUGUUCCUAUAGAUGCUAGAAUUCUGGAGAAUUUUAUCUUUGAAAAUCUUUAAAAUGUUGCAUGAUGAGUUCCUGUAUGAUGAGAGUUUAAAUUCCUACCACAGCCAUAUAUACAUGCUUGCUAGACUUUGAGCCACACAUUUACUAUUUACUACUUAUGAGCAUUGAGUGUGGUCAAGCUGUGUAGACCCUUAGGAGCUUGUCAUGUGGUUAAAUCAAGAUUCACUUGCACGUUCACUCAUAUAUGCUACUUCUACUCCAGAAGUACCAUCCACAUAUAUCCACCCAUUCCAUCUCCAGAAUCACCCAAAAAUAUUCUACUCCUAAUCCGGGAGAGAAUAACCAAAAAUAUUUCUGUUUUCCCCUUGUGAAAUAAAUGCUCAAGUUAUCUUGUUACUACCACUUGCUAUAUUAUCUCAAGAGAUGAGUGCUCUUAAAAAAAAGAAAAAAAAAAUAUACGAGGAAAUAAAAAGGAGCAAGUGCUCGGAACCUCGAAAGAAAAGAAAAAGUGAGACGAGAGGUAAAAAUGGACAAGUGUCCGACAGUAGAAUUAGGGGUGCAAGAUACCCACCUGAGAGAAAAGAAAAGAAAAAGAAGAGCAUCUCAUUCUCCUCAUAAAAUUUCAAAAAGCAAGGAAGGUUUGUAUCCCCUCAAAAGAGCAAAGUAGAAUUAGACUUUCACCAUUGUUAUCACCAUCAUCACCAUACACCAUUCAUUCGCCACACAUGCACAUCUUGAUUUGACUUAUUGAUUUGUUUCUUUGGAUCCAUGGUUUGACUAUGCAAUAAAUGUCUUGUAAGUAUGUAUAUUUUAUCUCCCACCUAUUAGCUCCAGAUAUUAAAGCCUUAUUAGAGUAGGGUGAGAGAGAAGGCAAUGUCACUAUGCCUCAUACCACAAAUACCACAUAUCUUGAGAGAAGGCAUAUACCAUCAAUGCCUUGGUAAGGAUCCAAAAAUACCACAAAAGAGAGACCUGAGAGAAUCAUACAAGGAAUUUCUGAGUUUUAUUUGAAAAUCUGCAAAAACCCUAGAGCUAUAGCUGAUCAAGAAUAAGAGACAUGGCACUUGGCUAGACUGUUCUAUCUUUUAACCACUCAAGACAGAAGUGACAGUUACAAGUCCCAUGGUGUAGGUAAAGUAAGUAAGUUUUAAGUCUUGACAGUUUACUCUAACUCAGAGAUGAGAUCUUAUUUAAAAGCAUGUGUACCGUCAAAUUUUUAAAAUAUAAUGCAACAACUUAUGAUCCAUAGCUGAGUCUAUCCUUGCUCAGGGACGAGCAAGAGGUAAGCUUGGGUGAGUUUGUUGAUGGUCCUUAAGUAUCAAAUUUAAUUAUCAAAUAAAUAAAGAAAAGGAUCCAAAUGAAAUCAAGAUCUAGACUUAGGGUUUUAUCUGACAGAAUUCCACGAGUUUUGGUGUUUGUCUAUUUCUGUAGGGGGUUAUCAGGAAAUAUGUAAGAAAGGCCCACAUGUCAGGAUUACGUAAAGGUAUUAACGUGCUGCGCAAUUAUCUUACAUCUAGAAGACUCCAGAAGCCACGAGACCGAAGCGGAGGCGAAACGGGGCCAGAGGCAGGGCGCCCGCCCUAUCCUACUGGGCGCCCGCCCCCUGUUGGAGUCCAAUCAGGACUCUGCUUUGCGGGAGAUCUCCACCGACCUAAAGGAUGAAUCUAAACCAUACAAUCUAUGUCGGUUUGAUCCAAGGGCCCAUAUUCACUUGAAGGGACUAUAAAACCAGACCCCCUGGCCCCUGGAGGAGGGAGACUCUCAACCCUAAUUCAUUGUUCUUCAAGGGAGAAGAAGCCUC
rnacentral:lncRNA from 1 species